UACGAAGGGGGCUAGCGUUGUUCGGAAUUACUGGGCGUAAAGCGCACGUAGGCGGAUAUUUAAGUCAGGGGUGAAAUCCCAGAGCUCAACUCUGGAACUGCCUUUGAUACUGGGUAUCUGGAGUAUGGAAGAGGUGAGUGGAAUUCCGAGUGUAGAGGUGAAAUUCGUAGAUAUUCGGAGGAACACCAGUGGCGAAGGCGGCUCACUGGUCCGGUACUGACGCUGAGGUGCGAAAGCGUGGGGAGCAAACAGG
rnacentral:rRNA from 1 species